UUAGGUUCGGUUCCAAUAUGUACUGCAUCAUUUUUUACAGUUGUGCACAAAGGAGGAACAUGUGAGGUGAUCGCAGCACACCGAUGUUGCAACAAGAACCGUAUUGAGGAACGUUCCCAGACGGUCAAGUGUUCAUGUUUACCAGGAAAAGUGGCUGGCACGACACGAAACAAACCCUCCUGUGUAGACGCCUCCAUUGUGAUUGGGAAGUGGUGGUGUGAGAUGGAGCCAUGUCUGGAGGGAGAAGAGUGCAAGACGCUACCAGACAACUCCGGCUGGAUGUGUUCCUCUGGGAAUAAGAUCAAGACCACGAGGGUGAGGAUCAAAUUAUUCACGUCAAGUCACGUCAUGACCAAUCAAAUGCUCUCUUGUAUCUGA
ensembl:processed_transcript